UACGAAGGGGGCUAGCGUUGCUCGGAAUCACUGGGCGUAAAGCGCACGUAGGCGGACUCUUAAGUCGGUGGUGAAAUCCUGGAGCUCAACUCCAGAACUGCCUUCGAUACUGGGAGUCUCGAGUCCGGGAGAGGUGAGUGGAACUGCGAGUGUAGAGGUGAAAUUCGUAGAUAUUCGCAAGAACACCAGUGGCGAAGGCGGCUCACUGGCCCGGUACUGACGCUGAGGUGCGACGGCGUGGGGAGGCAAACCGG
rnacentral:rRNA from 1 species